AUACUUACCUGACAGUGGAAAUAUCAUGAUCAAGAAUGUGGUUUUCCAGGGUGACACUUAUCUAUUGCACUUUGGAUGUGCUGAGUCCUGAAAUUUCCUGAAAUGUGGGAAACUGGACUGAAUAAUCUGUGUCAAUGUGUCUGUGUUUGUAUUCACCCC
ensembl:snRNA U1 U1 spliceosomal RNA